UCAGGUGAUCCGCCUGCUUCAGCCUCCCAAAGUGCUGGGAUGACAGGCGUGAGCCACCGCGCCCGGCCUGUCUCUCUUUUUGUAUAACGCCUCUGUAUGGGUUUGGACAACACUUCCUGUUGAUCAUUUGUCCCCCACAGUGAGACGCCUCUUUCUGAAUAUCUCUGGGGGAAAGAUGGGCCAGGAUAGCUCCCUCGAGAGCGCCCUCUGUUAUUAUUAGGUUGGUGCAAAAGUAAUAAACUGCAAUUACUUAUGCACCAACCUAAUAGUUCUGAGAAGAGAUGGUAAAUACAGCCCCUUGCUUUCUGCAACCUGCUGCCUCUGCUCUCUUCUCUCCCUUUUAUUGGGACCUGUUUUCCUUUCUGCUUCUGCCCUGGUCAAUUUGGAUUCUACUACCCCCAGCAACAUCUUCUCGGCGCCGGGCUUUGUCUUGCAAGUGAGUUGCACUUGGUUAAUUUCAAGAGUCCGUGGCCCAGUGGCUCCCGCACCAUCUGCCUUGCUGCUUUCUCCUUGCAGGCGCCUGUGAGUGGAAGGAAGGCUGUGAGUCUCCCUGCUUUGACUCUUCUUCUCUGACUGGACCAUGGGCUUUCCAGGGAGUACCUGCUUGUGAUUUGGGGGUCUCUCCAGAUCUCAGGAUCAUCAGAAUCCCCCUCUACAUUGACUUCUCUCCUCUCCCUCUCCUGCGGUUGCUGAUACCAUGCAAGGCUUGUGGCUGUCAGUGACUUGUACCCACCUGCUUGUGUGCUGUGGACAGCUUGCCACCUAGUCUCACUGUGGCUGUUAUCCAGAGGUUUUUGGUUUUGCUAUCCUAGGUGCUCUGUCAAUCGUUGGGGAAUUGGGGGAGGUAAAAAAAACUACGGCAUCACUGUCCCAUCUUCCCAAAAUUGCUUUUAAACCCACUUACCGAAAAGUAGCAGAAACAUUCAUUAUAAAAGCCGCAGUGUGGAUGGCAGCUCCCAGUGUUUUUCAGGGGAAAUGAGAAGCUCCAAAGAGCAGAGCAUGACAUGUCUCAGGGCCUGGCCUCUGUCUUGAGACUGCAGAGACCCUACGGAUAGAGCUGUAGGCAGGGCUGCCCUGUCCUGUUGCUGGGUUGUGUACUCCUCAAGUGCCCUUGGCUGAGAGGGUCUGAGCUUUACCAAAGUCGCUUCUGGUAGAAAUGCAGAGCUCCCUCACCUCCGUCCUGACCCGUGCAAUCUUCAGCCUCAUCUGGGAAAGAGGCUUCCGGGAACAGGAGCAGGGGGACCCUCAGCCAAGCCAGGAGCUGGAUGAAUUAUGCUGGCUUGGCCCAGCCCAAAGGGGCUCCAGGUAGAGAGGGACCGGAGAGCCACAGUCCUCCUGGAGAACUUUCCCCAACUUUCCAGCCCCUGCCCCGCCAUGGACUGCUGGGGUCCCUGGUUGGUGCAGGCCCUUUUCCGCCUCUUAGUUUGUGAUCACACUAUUUUCCUUACCACUGUCUCUUGGAAAACUUCCAUGCAUCCUUCAGGGCCCAGCUCAGAUGUCACCUCCUCCAGGAAGCCUCCUCAUGAAGCCUUGCUCCUUACCCCAAGCUCAGUUUGUCGCUUCCGUAAGCGCUGCUGCUCCUGACUCCAUUCAACACGCAUGGGUUCAAUCGUGCAGCCAACCAACGUUUGCUGAGCAGCUACUAUGUUUUGAGUCUCUGUGUGUUACCCUGGGGUAAAUGAGACUGACCUGGCUCCUGGCCUCGGGGGGUGUGCGGUGAGAUUGUCCCUGUGGUGAGCUUGUUUGCCUCUCCCCAGGGAUGGGCACCAUGGCACAUAUGCUGCUGACCCCAGUGCCCAGCAAGGAGCUGGCACGCAGGAGAUGCUCAGUGGGGGUUUGGUGCGUGGUGAAUGUCCUCGGCGUGGAGGACUCAGCCAGCGCAGCAGGGGAACAGAGGCUGUCUCUGGCAUCAGUCCCUGAGUAGCUUCCUGGUCCCGGCCGCUGGGCUGGGGGACAUUGCCCACUCUCCAAGCUGCUCACGUACAUUACUAGCCACGGGAGAUGGGUGAGGGCUUCUCAGCUCCACAAGGGCAAGCUGCAGUGACAGAGUAGGCCUUGCCCAUGAACUGCCAGGGCCCCCUAGCCGAGAUGAGAUCCGCCCCUGGCAGGCCGUGGAAGGACGAGCCCUCCCUGAGUGCGUGACCCCCAGCCCCGCCCGACCUCAAGUCUAUCCCGGAACCUCCUCUCCCACCUCCGGGCUCUGGGUCCCCUGCUGUAAAACGCCCGCAAGGCCGGCUCAGAGUCUGGUCCCAGGGCAGCUGUGGCGUUGGCCUUGGCCCCGCCCCACUGGGUCUCACUCACCCUCAGCUCACCGCAAAGCCCUGAGGUGGGUCUCCUGUGGAGCCCCUUCCUGUGCCGGAACACCCCCAGACUUUUCUUUCGCAGCCUGGGGCUCAUUGUCUGAGGGCAGGGUUACCACCUUUAAGACAUCGUGAGGUUCGGCCACCUCAGAGCAAGCUGCCCCCACCGUGGCUCCUCUUCAGGCCCAGCGGGGAAUGGCUGCUUGCACCAGGUAACGGCAGCCCAGUCUCAAGCCAUCGCGUCCCAGAGGCACCUGGUCCCCCUGGAGCAUCGGCCUCCUUCCUCUCUAAUCUCCCCAGGCCUCCCCCAGGGGCCUCUUAAAAGCACAAAUCCCACAUGUUUCUCUCCCUUGCUCAAGACCCUCCGGUGGCCUUCUCCUUGCUCACGGAGUGAGGUCUAAACCUCUCAACACGGACACCAGGCCCCACGGGGUCUGCAGCUGCCCCUCACUUCCUCUGGGUCGUCUCCUCUCAAGCUCACGGCUCCCAGCACUUCCCCUGCACACUGGCUCCUCCUGCCUCCCUGUCUGUACCCAGGGCGUGGUGGACCCUCAUCAGCCUUUGGACUUCAGCUGAAGCAGCGCCUCCCCCCAGAGGCUCUCCCCGUUUAUCUCAUUUAAAGAUGGCCCUGCUGCGUGUGCGCUUUUGAAAAUUGCACCAUCAUUCACUUACUAUAAAAUGGGCUCUUUUGAAAGGAUACCCUUCAGUGGUUUUUAGUAUAUUCACAAGGUUGAAAAACCAUGACCACUUUCCAAUUUCAGAAUGUUCUCAUCACCCCAAAAGGAAACCCCAUCCCUGUUAGCAGUCUCUCCCUCUUCCUCCCUCCCCCCAGGCCCUGGCAACCGUAAAGCUGCUUUCCCUCUCGGGACCUGCCUAUUCUGGACAUUUUGUAUAAAUGGAAUCACGUAAUAUGUG